rnacentral:rRNA from 1 species
UACGGAGGGGACUAGCGUUGUUCGGAAUUACUGGGCGUAAAGGGCUCGUAGGCGGCCAACUAAGUCACACGUGAAAUCCCUCAGCUUAACUGGGGAACUGCGUGUGAUACUGGAUGGCUUGGAUCCGGGAGAGGGAUGCGGAAUUCCAGGUGUAGCGGUGAAAUGCGUAGAUAUCUGGAGGAACACCGGUGGCGAAGGCGGCAUCCUGGACCGGUAUUGACGCUGAGGAGCGAAAGCCAGGGGAGCAAACGGG